UUCAUCGUAGUACAAUGGUAGUAUAUUUGACUCUCAAUCAAAAGUUGUUGGUUCGAAUCCAACCGAAUAUA